UCGUGUUAAGUUCUAAUUCGUGUAAAGAACUCACGAGUCUACCUGUGCAAGUCCACUGAGCAAGGACACGGACGAGGCACUUAAGUAUCACUUUUAUUUCUUCUAUUCCUUGUGUUUUUUCUUCCACUUUUCCUUCUCUCCUGCUCUAUGUGCUUUCAACACAUUCUCAUUGUCACUCACACUUGCCACUUCAGAAACAGGAGACAGCACAAUCUUAACAUCUUGCUCUCUUUCUCCACUUCCUCUACUAAACCUCUCUAUUUUCUAUCAGUCUUUGGAGCUUCCAGUCAGCUGUAAACAAAGCUGACUUUUUUAUUUACACCUCUGUCCUCUUUGUGUGACAAUAACACCUUUGAACUACAUGCCAUUACUAUCACCCAUCUGGUAAAAAUUCAUUUUUCCCAGGUCAGCAAGGAAAUUUCUUGGAGGAGCUGGAUGUGCUACUGUCCUCCUUCCAUGUAGAUGGCAGCUCACUUGUUGGGCUCAGACUGCAGACUUUCAUACUUGCUUGCCACGUUUGACUUCAAACAUCUCACAACUGCAGCAACUCACAAAUCAGGCCAACCUGUGGCACACGCCUCAACCCCCUGGCUAUCCAACUGUUCUUUGUAUAUAUAGGUCCCAACUCAGGGCUGCUGAAAGACCGUGCCGCAAAUCUAAAGACUUAGCUGACCUGAGUACAACAGCAGGUGAAGAACCUUGGGUGCUGAAAAAAGCACCAUAAAUCUGGAGUUUAAAGGACAAUGCAGUGGAUCGAACUGUUGGCAGAAGAAAGAGAGUCAUACACAUCUGGGAUGGCAUGAUGUCAGUAACUGAUGCUGUGGGAGCUCCUCCAUGGGGUGGUGACCUUGAAAACACUAUACCAUCUCGCCAAUAUGAUUGGCUGGCGACGCUUGGCACUCUGCAUCAUCACAGGCCUAUAAGCCGGAGCCCAGUGACACAUCAUCAGAAUUUUCCUCUUUCAGGGUCGUGUAGACAUCUCUGGAACCCUAAACCAACACUUCGCUGUUCUAAUUUGCACUUGGUCAGAGAAGAGAACUCCUUUUUCUCCCUGUGUGCUCCAACAAAUAAAAGCAUGU